AUUGAACGCUGGCGGCAGGCCUAACACAUGCAAGUCGAGCGGAGCGGCGGACGGGUGAGUAAUGCCUAGGAAUCUGCCUGGUAGUGGUGGAUAACGUCCGGAAACGGGCGCUAAUACCGCAUACUAUCAGAUGAGCCUAGACCGGAUUAGAUAGGUGGUGGGGUAAAGGCCUACCAAGGCGACGAUCAGUAACUGGUCUGAGAGGAUGAUCAGUCACACUGGAACUGAGACACGGUCCAGACUCCUACGGGAGGCAGCAGUGGGGAAUAUUGGACAAUGGGCGAAAGCCUGAUCCAGCCAUGCCGCGUGUGUGAAGAAGGUCUUCGGAUUGUAAAGCACUGUAAGUUGGGAGGCGUUACCAACAGAAUAAGCACCGGCUAACUCCGUGCCAGCAGCCGCGGUAAUUC
rnacentral:rRNA from 1 species